GCGUUUUGCAGUUGAUCAACUCCACCAGAAGGAUAGGCAGCGCCAUUGAGCUGUGGCUGUUUAAAGGCUGUGAAAUGUGGCCGGUGGCUACGAGGCAGCUGAUGCUAUUUAUCCUGGCAUGAUGUGCUGUGAUAAUUCAGACUCAAAGCAACAGUGACAAGAGACCCCAGAAUGGAAUUUUGACAGUACCCUGAAGAAAUGAAUUGGAAAGAAAAUAAUGAGGGCAUCUGAGAAUCAUGUGACACACUUGGUACUUCUUCCCUGUUUCUGGAGUUACCCACUGGAACAGAAGCAAUCUGUGGUGGCGGUGGUUGGGCACUCUGGGCACCACUGUGUUUGCACAUAAUUUAAUAAUAAAGGUACUUUCCUUGGGUUGAUCAGAA